AAGUGGUAGGAGAGCGUUCUAUUUGCGUCGAAGGUAUACCGGUAAGGAGUGCUGGAGCGAAUAGAAGUGAGCAUGCAGGCAUGAGUAGCGAUAAUUAAUGUGAGAAUCAUUAACGCCGUAAACCCAAGGUUUCCUACGCGAUGCUCGUCAUCGUAGGGUUAGUCGGGUCCUAAGUCGAGUCCGAAAGGGGUAGACGAUGGCAAAUUGGUUAAUAUUCCAAUACCAACAUUAGUGUGCGAUGGAAGGACGCUUAGGGCUAAGGGGGCUAGCGGAUGGAAGUGCUAGUCUAAGGUCGUAGGAGGUUAUACAGGCAAAUCCGUAUAACAAUACUCCGAGAACUGAAAGGCUUUUUGAAGUCUUCGGAUGGAUAGAAGAACCCCUGAUGCCGUCGAGCCAAGAAAAGUUUCUAAGUUUAGCUAAUGUUGCCCGUACCGUAAACCGACACAGGUGGGUGGGAUGAGUAUUCUAAGGCGCGUGGAAGAACUCUCUUUAAGGAACUCUGCAAAAUAGCACCGUAUCUUCGGUAUAAGGUGUGCCUCCCUUUGUAUUAGAAUUCACUUCGAAAGCAAAGAAGGUUACAACAAAGAGUCCCUCCCGACUGUUUACCAAAAACACAGCACUCUGCUAACUCGUAAGAGGAUGUAUAGGGUGUGACGCCUGCCCGGUGCUCGAAGGUUAAUUGAUGGGGUUAGCAUUAGCGAAGCUCUUGAUCGAAGCCCGAGUAAACGGCGGCCGUAACUAUAACGGUCCUAAGGUAGCGAAAUUCCUUGUCGGUUAAAUACCGACCUGCAUGAAUGGCGUAACGAGAUGGGAGCUGUCUCAAAGAGGGAUCCAGUGAAAUUGUAGUGGAGGUGAAAAUUCCUCCUACCCGCGGCAAGACGGAAAGACCCCGUGGACCUUUACUACAGCUUGACACUGCUACUUGGAUAAGAAUGUGCAGGAUAGGUGGGAGGCUUUGAGUAUAUGACGCCAGUUGUAUAUGAGCCAUUGUUGAGAUACCACUCUUUCUUAUUUGGGUAGCUAACCAGCUUGAGUUAUCCUCAAGUGGGACAAUGUCUGGUGGGUAGUUUGACUGGGGCGGUCGCCUCCCAAAUAAUAACGGAGGCUUACAAAGGUUGGCUCAGAACGGUUGGAAAUCGUUCGUAGAGUAUAAAGGUAUAAGCCAGCUUAACUGCAAGACAUACAAGUCAAGCAGAGACGAAAGUCGGUCUUAGUGAUCCGGUGGUUCUGUGUGGAAGGGCCAUCGCUCAAAGGAUAAAAGGUACCCCGGGGAUAACAGGCUGAUCUCCCCCAAGAGCUCACAUCGACGGGGAGGUUUGGCACCUCGAUGUCGGCUCAUCGCAUCCUGGGGCUGGAGCAGGUCCCAAGGGUAUGGCUGUUCGCCAUUUAAAGCGGUACGCGAGCUGGGUUCAGAACGUCGUGAGACAGUUCGGUCCCUAUCUGCCGUGGGCGUAAGAAGAUUGAAGAGAUUUGACCCUAGUACGAGAGGACCGGGUUGAACAAACCACUGGUGUAGCUGUUGUUCUGCCAAGAGCAUCGCAGCGUAGCUAAGUUUGGAAAGGAUAAACGCUGAAAGCAUCUAAGCGUGAAGCCAACUCUAAGAUGAAUCUUCUCUAAGCUCUCUAGAAGACUACUAGUUUGAUAGGCUGGGUGUGUAAUGGAUGAAAGUCCUUUAGCUGACCAGUACUAAUAGAGCGUUUGGCUUAUCUUUAAUAAAGCAU
rnacentral:rRNA from 1 species